GUAAAGCGAGUGCGGAAAAUAAAUAAAGUAAAACGGGUGCGGAAAAUAAAUAAAGUAAAGCGAGUGCAGAAAAUAAAUAAAAUAAAGCGAGUGCGGAAAAUAAAUAAAGUAAAUCGGGUGCGGAAAAUAAAUAAAAUAAAUAAAAUAAAGCGAGUGCGGAAAUAAAUAAAAUAAAAGCGAUGCAGGAAAUAAAUAAAUAAAGCGAUAAAUAAGAACCUGCUCCAAACAGAGACUUCGAUUCUGGUACAAAAAUAAACCUCCGACUCCUGAAGCUAAAGACGACAGCAACUCGAAGUGACCCAACUCAAUCUCACAAAGGUGCAAUAACC
rnacentral:lncRNA from 1 species